CUUGAAAUCGGACAAUUCAGGUUCCUACGAAGUUCGUUCUGAAAUGGGGUGGUUGGUGUAUUGUAUAGUUCUAGAGAUUGGAUUUCACUCAAAACCCACCAAAUGACUCCUCCCACAAUAUUAUGAUGUUCCCCAAGUUUUGGACUCAAUCCGUUAUCGAUUGGUCAAUGAAAUCGGACAAUUCAGGUAAGUACGAAGUUCGUUCUGAAAUGGGGUGCUUGGUGUAUUGUAUAGUUCUAGAGAUUGAAUUUCACUCAAAAGCCCACCAAAUGACUCCUCCCACAAUGUUAUGAUGUUCCCCAAGUUUUGGACUCAAUCCGAUAUCGAUCGGUCCACGAAAUUUGACAAUUCAGGUUCGUAAGAAGUUCGUUCUGAAAUGCGGUGGUUGAUGUAUUGUAUAGUUCUAAAGAUUGGAUUUCACUCAACACCCACCAAAUGACUCCUCCCACAAUAUUAUGAUGUUCCCUAAGUUUUGGACUCAUCCGAUAUCGAUUGCACAUUGAAAUCGGACAAUUCAGGUUCCUACGAAGUUCGUUCUGAAAUGGGGUGGUUGGUGUAUUGUUAAGUCCUAGAAUUGGAUUUCACUCAAUACCCACCAAAUGACUUCCUCCCAAAAUAUUAUGAUGUUCCCCAAGUUUGGACUCAAUCCGUUACCGAUUGGUCAAUGAAAAUCGGACAAUUUCAGGUUCGAACGAAGUUUCGUUCUGAAAUGGGGUGGUUGGUGUAUUGUAUAGUUCUAAAAUUGGAUUUCACUCAAUACCCACCAAAUGACUCCUCCCACAAUAUUAUGAUGUUCCCCAAGUCUUGGACUCAAUCCGAUAUCGAUUGGACCUUGAAAUCGGACAAUUCAGGUUCCUACGAAGUUCGUUCUGAAAUGGGGUGGUUGGUGUAUUGUAUAGUUCUAGAGAUUGGAUUUCACUCAAAACCCACCAAAUGACUCCUCCCACAAUAUUAUGAUGUUACCCAAGUUCUGGACUCAAUCCGAUAUCGAUUGGUCCUUCAAAUCGGACAAUUCAGGUUAGUACGAAGUUCGUUCUGAAAUGGGGUGGUUGGUGUAUUGUAUAGUUCUAGAGAUUGGAUUUCACUCAAAACUCACCAACUGACUCCUCCCAUAAUAUUAUGAUGUUCCCCAAGUUUUGGACUCAAUCCGAUAUCGAUUGGUCCUUCAAAUCGGACAAUUCAGGUUCGUACGAAGUUCGUUCUGAAAUGGGGUGGUUGGUUUAUUGUAUAGUUCUAAAGACUGGAUUUCACUCAAAACCCACCAAAUGAUUCCUCCCACAAUAUUAUGAUGUUCCCCAAGUUUUGGACUCAAUCCGUUAUCGAUUGGUCAAAGAAAUCGGACAAUUCAAGUUAGUACGAAGUUCGUUCUGAAAUGGGGAGGUUGGUGUAUUGUAUAGUUCUAAAGAUUGGAUUUCACUCAAAACCCACCAAAUUACUCCUCCCAAAAUAUUAUGAUGUUCCCCAACUUUUGGACUCAAUCCGAUAUCGAUUGGACCUUGAAAUCGGACAAUUCAGGUUCCUACGAAGUUCGUUCUGAAAUGGGGUGGUUGGUGUAUUGUAUAGUUCUAGAGAUUGGAUUUCACUCAAAACCCACCCAAAUGACUCCUCCCACAAUAUUAUGAUGUUCCCCACAGUUUUUGGACUCAAUCCGAUAUCGAUUCGGUCCUUCAAAAUCGGACCAAUUCAGGUUCUUAGAAGUUCAAUCUGAAAUGGGUGGUGGUGUAUUUUAGUCUAGGGGAAUAGAUUCACACAAAACCCACCAAAUGACUCCUCCCAAAAUAUUAUGAUGUUCCCCAAGUUUGGACUCAAUCCGCUACCGAUUGGUCAAUGUAAUCGGACAAUUCAGGUUCGUACGAAUUUCGUUCUGAAAUGGGGUGGUUGGUGUAUUGUAUAGUUCUAAAGAUUGGAUUUCACUCAAAACCCACCAAAUUACUCCUCCCACAAUAUUAUGAUGUUCCCCAAGUUUUGGACUCAAUCCGUUAUCGAUUGGUCAAAGAAAUCGGACAAUUCAAGUUAGUACGAAGUUCGUUCUGAACUGGGGAGAUUGGUGUAUUGUAUAGUUCUAGAGAUUGGAUUUCACUCAAAGCCCACCAAAUGACUCCUCCCACAAUGUUAUGAUGUUCCCCAAGUUUUGGACUCAAUCCGAUAUCGGUCGGUCCACGAAAUUUGACAAUUCAGGUUCGUAAGAAGUUCGUUCUGAAAUGCGGUGGUUGGUGUAUUUUAUAGUUCUAAAGAUUGGAUUUCACUCAAAACCCACCAAAUGACUCCUCCCACAAUAUUAUGAUGUUCCCCAAGUUUUGGACUCAAUCCGUUAUCGAUUGGUCAAUGAAAUCGGAUAAUUCAGGUUCGUACGAAGUUCGUUCUGAAAUGGGGUGGUUGGGGUAUUGUAUAGUUCUAGAGAUUGCAUUUCACUCAAAACCCACCAAAUGACUCCUCCCACAAUAUUAUGAUGUUUCCCAAGUUUUGGACUCAAUCCGAUGUCGAUUGGUCCUUGAAAUCGGACAGUUCAGGUUCCUACAAAGUUCGUUCUGAAAUGGGGUGCUUGGUGUAUUGUAUAGUUCUAGAGAUUGGAUUUCACUGAAAGCCCACCAAAUGACUACUCCCACAAUGUUAUGAUGUUCCCAAAGUUUUGGACUCAAUCCGAUAUCGAUCGGUCCACGAAAUUUGACAAUUCAGGUUCGUAAGAAGUUCGUUCUGAAAUGCGGUGGUUGGUGUAUUUUAUAGUUCUAAAGAUUAGAUUUCACCCAAAACCCACCAAAUGACUCCUCCCAAAAUAUUAUGAUGUUCCCCAACUUUUGGACUCAAUCCGAUAUCGAUUGGACCUUGAAAUCGGACAAUUCAGGUUCCUACGAAGUUCGUUCUGAAAUGGGGUGGUUGGUGUAUUGUAUAGUUCUAGAGAUUGGAUUUCACUCAAAACCCACCAAAUGACUCCUCCCACAAUAUUAUGAUGUUCCCCAAGUUUUGGACUCAAUCCGAUAUCGAUUGGUCCUUCAAAUCGGACAAUUCAGGUUCGUACGAAGUUCAUUCUGAAAUGGGUUGGUUGGUGUAUUUCAUAGUUCUAGAGAUUGGAUUUCACACAAAACCCACCAAAUGACUCCUCCCAAAAUAUUAUGAUGUUCCCCAAGUUUUGGACUCAAUCCGUUACCGAUUAGUCAAUGUAAUCGGACAAUUCAGGUUCGUACGAAUUUCGUUCUGAAAUGGGGUGGUUGGUGUAUUGUAUAGUUCUAAAGAUUGGAUUUCACUCAAAACCCACCAAAUUACUCCUCCCACAAUAUUAUGAUGUUCCCCACGUUUUGGACUCAAUCCGUUAUCGAUUGGUCAAAGAAAUCGGACAAUUCAAGUUAGUACGAAGUUCGUUCUGAAAUGGGGAGGUUGGUGUAUUGUAUAGUUCUAGAGAUUGGAUUUCACUCAAAGCCCACCAAAUGACUCCUCCCACAAUGUUAUGAUGUUCCCCAAGUUUUGGACUCAAUCCGAUAUCGGUCGGUCCACGAAAUUUGACAAUUCAGGUUCGUAAGAAGUUCGUUCUGAAAUGCGGUGGUUGGUGUAUUUUAUAGUUCUAAAGAUUGGAUUUCACUCAAGACCCACCAAAUGACUCCUCCCACAAUAUUAUGAUGUUCCCCAAGUUUUGGACUCAAUCCGAUAUCGAUUAGACCUUGAAAUCGGACAAUUCAGGUUCCUACGAAGUUCGUUCUGAAAUGGGGUGGUUGGUGUAUUGUAUAGUUCUAGAAUUGGAUUUCACUCAAUACCCACCAAAUGACUCCUCCCAAAAAUAUUAUGAUGUUCCCCAAGUUUGGACUCAAUCCGUUACCGAUUGGUCAAUAAAAUCGGACAAUUCAGGUUCGUACGAAGUUCGUUCUGAAAUGGGGUGGUUGGUGUAUUGUAUGGUUCUAAAAUUGGAUUUCACUCAAUACCCACCAAAUGACUCCUCCCACAAUAUUAUGAUGUUCCCCAAGUCUUGGACUCAAUCCGAUAUCGAUUGGACCUUGAAAUCGGACAAUUCAGUUCCUACGAAGUUCGUUUCUGAAAUGGGGUGGUUGGUUGUAUUGUAUAGUUCUAGAGAUUGAUUUCACUCAAAACCCACCAAAUGACCUCCUCCCAAAUAUUAAUGAUGUUCCCCAGUUUUGACUCAUCCGAUAUCGAUUGGUCCUUCAAAUCGGACAAUUCAGGUUCGUACGAAGUUCGUUCUGAAAUGGGUUGGUUGGUGUAUUGCAUAGUUCGAGAGAUUGGAUUUCACACAACACCCACCAAAUGACUCCUCGCAAAAUUUUAUGAUGUUCCCCAAGUUUUGGACUCAAUCCGUUACCGAUUGGUCAAUGAAAUCGGACAAUUCAGGCUCGUACGAAGUUCGUUCUGAAAUGGGGUGGUUGGUGUAUUGUAUGGUUCUAAAAUUGGAUUUCACUCAAUACCCACCAAAUGACUCCUCCCACAAUAUUAUGAUGUUCCCCAAGUCUUGGACUCAAUCCGAUAUCGAUUGGACCUUGAAAUCGGACAAUUCAGGUUCCUACGAAGUUCGUUCUGAAAUGGGGUGGUUGGUGUAUUGUAUAGUUCUACAGAUUGG
rnacentral:lncRNA from 1 species